GCCGCUCCUUGGCACAGGUAGUGAUCUGAAAAAGUCCCACUAAGACCCCUGAUGGCCCAGCUCCAGGGGAAAUCCUAAAAUAUCUCCAUCUGGUUUGGGCCUGACAUUCUAUCUAUUGCCAGAUGGACUGAUUGCUAGUCUAAAAGACCGGUUGUAAUACAUUUACAUAGGUCAUCUCCAGUUAUCUCUAAGACUAUCUAAA